UACAGAGGGGGCAAACGUUGUUCGGAAUUACUGGGCGUAAAGCGCGUGUAGGCGGCUUGGCAAGUCGGGUGUGAAAGCCCCGGGCUCAACCUGGGAAUUGCAUUCGAGACUGAAUAGCUAGGGUACGGUAGAGGGAAGUGGAAUUUCCGGUGUAGCGGUGAAAUGCGUAGAUAUCGGAAGGAACAUCAGUGGCGAAGGCGGCAUCCUGGACCGGCAUUGACGCUGAGGCGCGAAAGCCAGGGGAGCAAACGGG
rnacentral:rRNA from 1 species